UGGGGAAUUUUGGACAAUGGGGGAAACCCUGAUCCAGCCAUCCCGCGUGUGCGAUGAAGGCCUUCGGGUUGUAAAGCACUUUUGGCAGGAAAGAAACGUCAUGGGUUAAUACCCCGUGAAACUGACGGUACCUGCAGAAUAAGCACCGGCUAACUACGUGCCAGCAGCCGCGGUAAUACGUAGGGUGCAAGCGUUAAUCGGAAUUACUGGGCGUAAAGCGUGCGCAGGCGGUUCGGAAAGAAAGAUGUGAAAUCCCAGAGCUCAACGUUGGAACUGCAUUUUUAACUACCGGGCUAGAGUGUGUCAGAGGGAGGUGGAAUUCCGCGUGUAGCAGUGAAAUGCGUAGAUAUGCGGAGGAACACCGAUGGCGAAGGCAGCCUCCUGGGAUAACACUGACGCUCAUGCACGAAAGCGUGGGGAGCAAACAGG
rnacentral:rRNA from 1 species